GCGGCGGUAGUUUAACGGUAAAACAUUCCACAUCCUGCGGAAAGAUGGCGGUUCAACUCCGACCUCGCUGCUCCA
rnacentral:tRNA from 1 species